UGCAGUCGAGCGGAUGAAAGGAGCUUGCUCCUGGAUUCAGCGGCGGACGGGUGAGUAAUGCCUAGGAAUCUGCCUGGUAGUGGGGGACAACGUUUCGAAAGGAACGCUAAUACCGCAUACGUCCUACGGGAGAAAGCAGGGGACCUUCGGGCCUUGCGCUAUCAGAUGAGCCUAGGUCGGAUUAGCUAGUUGGUGAGGUAAUGGCUCACCAAGGCGACGAUCCGUAACUGGUCUGAGAGGAUGAUCAGUCACACUGGAACUGAGACACGGUCCAGACUCCUACGGGAGGCAGCAGUGGGGAAUAUUGGACAAUGGGCGAAAGCCUGAUCCAGCCAUGCCGCGUGUGUGAAGAAGGUCUUCGGAUUGUAAAGCACUUUAAGUUGGGAGGAAGGGUUGUAGAUUAAUACUCUGCAAUUUUGACGUUACCGACAGAAUAAGCACCGGCUAACUCUGUGCCAGCAGCCGCGGUAAUACAGAGGGUGCAAGCGUUAAUCGGAAUUACUGGGCGUAAAGCGCGCGUAGGUGGUUCGUUAAGUUGGAUGUGAAAUCCCCGGGCUCAACCUGGGAACUGCAUUCAAAACUGUCGAGCUAGAGUAUGGUAGAGGGUGGUGGAAUUUCCUGUGUAGCGGUGAAAUGCGUAGAUAUAGGAAGGAACACCAGUGGCGAAGGCGACCACCUGGACUGAUACUGACACUGAGGUGCGAAAGCGUGGGGAGCAAACAGGAUUAGAUACCCUGGUAGUCCACGCCGUAAACGAUGUCAACUAGCCGUUGGGAGCCUUGAGCUCUUAGUGGCGCAGCUAACGCAUUAAGUUGACCGCCUGGGGAGUACGGCCGCAAGGUUAAAACUCAAAUGAAUUGACGGGGCCCGCACAAGCGGUGGAGCAUGUGGUUUAUUCGAGCA
rnacentral:rRNA from 1 species